GCUCUUCUUGCUCUCCUCCACUUUCCUGUGAUGUACUGUGUCUGGCUGAUUUUACCAUCCUAACCUUGUCCCCAGGUUGAUGUGAGCUGGCAUAUAUGUCUUGGGCUUCAUCUGCAAUUUCCAUCCAGUCAUCUAUAAAACAAGCUGUUUGAAGAGAAUGAGUGAGAACAACAGAGGAAACAGCUACACUGGCGAUCAAUAGCACCGAUGAAGCCAUUCCUGAAGCCAUCAUUUUCUUUGUCCUGUGUGCAGGUGGUCAAUCAGAGAUUGCAUGACAUGUAUCACAGAAGUGUUGGACCAAGUCUCGGUAUUCUCCAUGCGUGAUCCCAGAGAGGCUGUUUAUUUUGCUGCUGGUCCUUAAUCUGCCAUUUUUAAUCUCUUGGAAGAAAAUACUUAGUUGUUAAGAACUUGGUGCUGCACGAAGACAUGCAGUAGUCCAGGAUCACCUGAAGGCACCUAAAGUUUCCAGAGGAGCUCUCCGUUGGGGUGUGUGUGUAUGUGUGCGUGUGUGUGCGCUUGUAGGCAGGGUCGAUACUUUCCUAUGCUGCCCUCUAGUGGCCAGUGGCUGAGCUCCAGCUCCUUAGUUACCUUUCCUCGGGAGUAGAGUUCUACCUUCUAGUCAGGCCUCAAGUGGGUGCAUACUAAACAUAAGAUGCCUUGAAUUUUAAUUAUAUGAGUAGUAAUAAACAUAUAUUUAUUAAAAAACCGGG
ensembl:lincRNA